CUCUCAUAUCUAAUUCACUCAAUUUCCCCAAUUUUCCUAUUUCCUCUGGAAGUUUUUUCAAACCCUCACAUACUGAAAUGUCUAGAUAUUCCAGCCACACAAGAUUUCCAAUUGAAGAAGGAAGUUCUGUAAGGCCAGACAGCAUCUGAACGGAUUGCAUGUUGCAGAUUCCAGGAGGCAACACCUCCAGGUCACUGCAGUGAUCCAGGUUAAAAUCUUGCAGCUUGGUACUGUUCAAUGUCGAGGUGAAGGCUACGGAGGAGUAAAAUACACACCAAAAGCUUAGGAAUCAUUGGAUGAAGGAAGAUUUAGCAAUUAAAGUUACCAUGAAAUAUCCAACUUGAAAUUCCUCAAAUUGCUAGGGGAUGGAUUAGUAACAGUGAAUAGACAAGACAUUAGAUAUAGGCAUACUUGGUCAUAAAAGAGCAAAAUCAACCUCACUUUUCAAAAGGAUCUCUUGGAGUACCAUAAGAAGUACAAUGAGGUAGUUGAGAUAAACAGAGUAGCAGAAAAGAAGGAUCACCCCCAUGCUUGAAUUUAUUUCAACUGCAACAAGAAUUCAGACACUGAGGAGGUCAAAUCCAAUGAAGAUAUCUUUGUGGUCUCCUCUCCUUUGGGGUAUUGGGAGUGGAAGAAAUAUAAUGAGAGUAGAGUUGGUUAAUCGUAUUGGUCUCUGUAUGGUUUCUUAUAUUCAGUUGUUGACAUAAAAAUUAUUGAAAUUUUGUAUAUUUAGUAAUCUAGGAUCUAAUGUAGUUCUCUAGUGAACAAAGUCUAUAUGCAUCCUAUGAUAAAUUGAUCCUCAUAAAUACUCGGUGGUUUUUGUAAUGUUUUUUUAUCUAUAUUUAAUAUAUUUUUUUUAGAAACAUACAUUGAUUUACAAUGUCACAUGAUGGUUCAACACACAAAAGAAGUCUAUUAGACAUUGGGUAGAAUUUAAGAUCCCAAUUAAAGCUAAGUACCUACUGAAUUUUUUUUUUUAUAGAACAUCCCUAAAUAUGAAAAUAUAUGCUACCAAAAGACAACCUAGACACAUGUAUUCAAUGCUAGGAAGGAAGGUCUAAAUAUGACGAUAGACUUUACAUCUACUUCUUUUAUUGAACAUUGACACCACUAGUGUAAACAUGGUAAAUCAAUUAGGAAUGGAGGAGAGAAAACAAAAUAUGAGAUGAGGUAACCCCAAACUUUCUCCAUGAAUUUUCUUUUAUCAUGAAGACAUAAAGACACAUACUAUAUUGUGAAGCAUUAAGGAUAUUACCAUCUCCAACCCCCAAAACACAAAGAAUUUCCAAAUAUGUAAAAUGAUUAGAAACCCAAAUAUUUACAAGUAGACAAUGUUGCACAACCUAGAAGAAUGAUGAUGAAAGAAAGGAUUUAGAGAUCCAAAUUGAGCAAGGUGAAAGGGAUAUAUAAUAGUGUACUAGGCAUAAAAGAAAAUAUUACAACAAUCUAGUUAACUAAAUGAAACAAACAUUGCAGUAAAAGGAGACCCUAAAUUGAUCAAAAUGGGAGACUAUUGGGAUGAAACGACAAUAGAACAAGUACAAGAAAGCCUCUCAAAAUAUCAAAACUUGUUUCCCAUAAAUUUCAAAGAGAUGAAAUAGAUCAGAGUAGGCACAUUGAAAAUCCACUUGAAAGAUGUAGCCAGACCAGUCUAGAAGAGACCAUGUAGACUCAACCCCUAUAUGAAGAAGUAGGUGAAGGCAUUUAGGUGGACAAGAUGUUGAAUGCUAGAAUCAUUAAAGAUGUAUAAGAUUAAGAAUAGAUAAGCCCUAUAAUGAUUUGACAUAAGAAGACGAGAAAUAAGGGUUUGUGUGGAUUUCCAAAUGUUGAACAAAGCAUGCAUCCAUGACCCAUUCCCCACCCCAUUUACGAAGGAGAUCUUGGAGUUAAAUGUCAUGGGGGAGGUAUACUAUUUAUAGAUGAGUUUUCUGGAUGCCACUAGGUAGAUAUCAAAAAAGAGGAUCAACCUAACACAAUUUUUUCUACAAAAUGUGUGUUCUACAUGUAUAUAGUAAUUCCCUUUGGGUUGAGGAAUGCACCCAUAGUAUUCAACUAGAAGUUUUCAUGGAAAAUUGGAUAAUAUAAUGACCGCUGAAAGAUAACAUUGAAGUACUCUAGAUGAUGUUAGAUAGAUGUAAAAGAAUGGUGAUAUCACUCAAUGCAAUGAAAUCGAUAUUUUUAAUGCUAUUUGGAAAAUUAUUAGGACAAAUCAUAUGCAAAGAGGGGUUGAUGGUAGAUCCCAUAUAUCGACACCAAAAAAUGCACCUAUAAUGGGUGGGAAAUUAGGGUUUCCAACCUUACAUGUAUGAAAGCCACUAAUUUACCAUUAUAUUCAAAAGAGGAUUGAAUCCAAUAGUUUUAGUCACAAACCAGUAAUGAUAAGGACUGAAAAUACAAAUUGGAUUCAAGGAGGUCAGUUGAUUUGCCCUCUUUUGUGAGUUGAAUUGCUGAAAUUAGGGAAAAGUGUUGAAAAUGAAGGUAAAAAUAUGGAAAUAGUGAGAUAGAGUUGUCAAAUUGAGGCACGCACUCGGAUCCAAGAAAUAUAAACAGAUUCAGACCCGAUCUUCGAAAAAGCUCUAAAAAUAUCGAGAUAAGAGCCCUUGCCACUCUAAUCCUCCUAACUUUUUGCACACCAAAAGUGGUUGAUUCGUCUUUGCAAAUAAUGCCUAUUCUUGUGCCUAUUUUUGUGUCUUGUACAAUAUCCAUUAGAAUUAUUAUAUGGAAAGGUGUGCAUCUAUAAAUUUUGGAAUGCAGCCUCGUGAUUAGUUGAUUAUGGAAUUAUUAUUGUGGUUCAUAUGAAUGUCCUCAAACUCAAUAAAGAUCAUAUUGAAAAGGGAGUUAGGAGAAAGGAUCUCAAUAAUCUCAAUUUAUAUUUAUCCAUAAUUUCAAGGUGGCCUUUUUAAUCCCUACCUCAAAUUGGUUUUUAAAAAUUUAUUGAUUUGCAUGCUUGGAAAAAAGUACAUAGGCCUCCUCAUGGGAUUAAAGUAGAUUUGCGAAGAAAGGUGAAAGAUGGAAAAUUUAAUGAUGGAAAUGAUAGAUUUAUGCAGAAUUUAUUUCUCACAUUACAGUUAUAUAAUCAUCAUUUUAACAAUGCAAUACUUAAUCAAUAUCAAAGAUAACUUAGAAAGUAUCAGAUAAAGUAUUAUUUAUUCUUUUUAUUCUAGUUCAUGUUAGCAAUCUUGUGGCUACUAUUUUUGUAAAAUAGAAGGCUAGUGUUUGCAAGUUAAACCCAACACCCUUUUUUCCCUCAAGAAAAAUGUUUAGGUAUGGUAGUUUUUUGGAGGAUUUAUUUAGUUACAUUCUUCAAUAGAAUGAAAGAGAAACAUUAUGAACUUUCCUCAUAGUUUAUGGAUAGCUAGAAAGAUGGUAAGGUGCAAGUUGGGGAUGUUACAAUAUAAUUUUGAGUCAGAAGCAUUCCUAUGAGGUGUUUAUCAAACUAUUUCUAGAUAAUGGUGAAUGACUUGCGUGCGACUAGAAUGUGUAUAGUGAUUAAUAUUUACCAACACCUUGGGGAUUCAUGAGCUACCACCUAAAUAAUUCAUUCACUUUCAAAGGUAGGAUCAUCAUAGUCCAUGGAUACCACUUUCCUCUCUUAAAACACCUAAGAUGCAAUCAACCGCUUAGCAUUCAUUAUUUUUUAUAUUCUUCCCUACAAAAAUGUGCUACUAAAGGAUCCCCUGCUCCACUAGGAGCUAAUGUAUGCACCUUAUAAUUAUUGCUCGGAUAAUACCCAUCCACUCAAGCCUAUGUCCCGAAGAAGAAAAUCUUGAUGUUUUUCCAACACCCUAACCCUCCUUGCAUUAAGGAUAUCAAAAAAUGUAUUGCCUUUUGUAGAAGAUACCCUUGCCUCUUCCAACGCCAAAUUCAUGUAAAGGUCCCUUCUAUGCCAACCUAAAAAAGAAAAAACUGGCUCAAUGACAUGAAGAGCCACCUGUAAUUAUUGAUUUGGGCUCCCAAUAAACCAUCCUUGACCCCUUAAAACAUAGGAAAAGAUAUUUCCUACUCCUCUACUAUAAAGAAAACGAAAAAAUUGAAUAAAGGAAAGGUAGUGAAAAAUAUGGUGGAAAGUAGCUCUAUGGUUUGCAUUCCUCAUUCACUAGCUAUAGAUAUUUUGGACAAAGAUAAUGUUAAUUUGGAGAUUACUAUUUCUUUGAGAGAAAGGAUAUCUAUGAGGCUUACCAAAAUUUCAAUAGUGGACUAGAUUUCAAUAGCUUUUGAGAAAAUAAACCCUUAGGAAGAGAAAAAGGAGAAUUCCGACCCUUCUUCCAAAGAAGAAGAGAGUGAAGAGAUUGUGGAUGAACUAGUAGACAUAACCCCUAAUAACUCUUUAUCGCAUUCCCCUUCUUAUAAUACCCCCUUUGGUUAUGCCCUAGAAGGUAUAAAUAUCCUCAAAAACUAUAAGGCCAAGGGGGAUGAAAAACCUAAAGAUAAAGUGAUGACAAACAUAAAUACAAACUAGUAGAUUUUAUUCGCUAACAUAGAAAAUCUUAAUGCAAAAACUAAUAAUUUAUAAAACUCCAUGAAAUGUGUGGGAUGUGCGAAUAGUAGAGAUUAAAUUACUUCCCUUACAAAGACCAUGGAGUAUUGUGUGAAGACCAAUAAUGUUCGCAUUCCUACGACAAUGUUUGGUUUAGUGACGGUUAAAAUAUAUAGGAAAGAUCUAAAAAGAAAGAAAAGCAAGAUAGAGUAAUAGACUAGAGGAAAGACAAAAAGACAAUUUCUGCUAUUAGAUGGGAGGUGACACUAGAAAAUAUGGUCAAAGACUGGGACUCAAUCUUUUAGAGUCCUAUGGGAUCUAUUUGUUUGCUCUUUUUUAUUUGAUUAUUAGUUAUACUAUCUAAUGUUUCUUAAGUUGUUCUUGGACUAUGCUAGUUUCCUGUGAUACUCUCUAUAUCUGUAAUUAUUAUGUAUAGUUUCUAGUUUGGAUUGUUGGCCUAUUUUCUAGGACUCUUGUGGUUUAUUUUAUAUACUUUUCUUGGAAAUGUAUGGGUUGAGAGCCCUUAUCCCACUCACCUUGAUAAAAAAAUAGUCUACAUCAUUCUCAUAUCAUUGUCAUAUCAGAUAGCUUAAAAUUUGACUAGCUAAAUCCAUUUUAAAAGAUAACAAAUGUUGAGGUGAAUGUUAGAAACAUUUUCAUUGGUAAUUUAUAAAGCACUCUAUCACAUUCUUCUCUAUUCUUUUUUAAUUUAGAAGUUCCCAAAUUAGUAACUCCGUUUUGAUGUAAUUCCACAAGAACAAGCGACAUGUCAUUUACAAAAGACAUAUUAUCAAAGAGAUGUGGCUCCAAAGAAUAUCAAUA